rnacentral:miRNA from 1 species
UCACACCAGAGUAACUGGGAUC